GGGCCCAGCAGGGGCGGAGGGGGGAGCGCCCUCCUGGAAGCCUCCCUGGGAUGGGGCCGCGGUGCAGGCGCGCUGGCCCAGGGCUCUGGGCAUCCCCGGUGCGGCCUGCACGCCGACCCCUUAGCAGGGAUCAGAACAGGUGCCAGGAGGUCCCACUCCAGGGUCCUGGCCUGGCGGCCGCGGGCCUUAGAUCCACAGGCCCCGCACGUUCGGGGUACCUGCUGCUGCUGCUGGUCCACUUGGCCUCACCGAGGUGACUUCGUGCGAGCCAGCCUCAGGGACGUGGUGACGCAGCAGAGGGACACAGCGCCCGCAGCCUCCCCACCCGACCGCAGACUGGAGCAGUUAGAUCAACAUCAAGUGACCGGAUGGAAACACGGCGGCAGGACGGCAGCUCUCUGUGCGACAUCCCUCCUUGCCCUUGAGGACACCGCAGAGCCGCCUGGGGGCGCUUCUGAGCUGGUGGUGGCCUCUGUGGCCUCAGGCGGUCAGGAGGCAGCCUGGGUGACGCGGUGGCACUUGGCAGGUGGUGACGAGGUGUCCAUUAUGGGUCUAGGGCUGGGGUGACAGGUGUCCUUGGCCCCGGGGGAGGCAGGGCCUGCAGGGGACAGGUGCUGGGGCAGGGCCCCCACAGACACCUGCGUGGCCAGCCGCAGUGGUUGGGGUCACGGGAACGGGGCAGACGGCGCCGUGGGCCCCUACGCCUCCCCCGCAUGCACACACGUGCUCUUCGUGCGGAUGUCUCGCCUUCUCGUGCUAACGUCCGCCGUCCCUGACUCAUGAUGGCGGGUGACACGUCAUGUUAUUAUUCAUGGAAGCCCGGAGUCUCCACCGGGGUGUGUGCCUGGUGCCGGGCGUGCUGCGGCCUGGACGGUCGUGCGAUGACACGUAUCUGCCACCAUCGCAUCGGCUAAGUAGGGUCACCGUCCUGCACACCCUGUGCUUGGCCUGCUCACCCCCCCACCCCACCCCAGGCAACUGCAUUUGUCUUCACCCCCCACCUUCGCUUUUGCCUUUUCCGGAAUGUUCUGUGGUUAGAAUCAUACAGCGUGUGCCUUUUCUCAGUGGCUUCCUUCACGUGGUAGCAGAAGUUCCCUCCAUGUCUACGCGCGGCUUCUGGGUGGUUCGUGAGCGCAGGUGGCGCUCCGUGGUGCAGACGGACUCCGUUCCUUCGUGUGCUCGCCUGUCCCGACCACGUGUAAAGCUGGUGAAGCAGCCGGAGGGGAAGCCAUGCUGGCUGAUAACUGCACCAAAGGCAAUGACAAGCGUCCUUAGCAGAGACCCAGACACACGAGGGGAGGCCGGUGGGGACAGAGGCGGAGACCUCAGGGAUGAAGGGCCAGAAGCCCGGGUGGUCUGGAGCCGCCCCGGGGCGGGUGGAGGCAGGAGGGGGCGUCCCCAGGUCGCCAGAGCCCGGAUUUCUGCUGCUGGAGCCGCUAGUUUGUGACAAUGUGAUACGGUGGCCCCAGGGCAGGACCACAGGCUUCGUCCCUACGGCGCCCGCCUGCCCUGGGCCCUGGGGCCCCUCACCCCCUGCUGACCCCACGCGCCUGCCCCGGGCCCUGGCCUCCCCGCUGAGACCUUGCAGGUGGUGACCCACAGCCGAGGCCUGCCUGCCACCCCCCGCAGCGCCAGCUCCUGGCAUGGACAGUGGACGGUGGAUGGGAGGGCCGCCCCCGCCCCUGCUUCCAGGCAGGGAGAGGCGCCCCCCCCCUACCAGGCGCAUUGCCCCUUUCCGUGGUACCGGGUCUUGAUGUGGACACGUGCGAAGCCCCUUUGACUCGCUUGGUGUGCCACUCAGAGGCAAGCCUUCGAUUUAUUCACAUCAGUCAACUCUGACAUCGAUGAAAAAAGUUCAUUUUGCGCAUCGGAUGCCAAUGGGAAUGCCGUGUUUUCUAACGUGUUAGAACUCGGUGACUCACAGACCUGCUCCACCGCAUUUACAUCUGAAAGCCCAGCAGCACUUGGAGUGGUCCCCACAGAGGAGUCGCUAAUCCGUCAGCAGGAAGCAGGGCUGGGGGGUGGGGGGGUUGGCUGAGGGCCAGGUCGCAGGGCCUGACCCGCUGUGGGCGCUCCUGUGGGCAGCUGAGGCUUCCUGAAGGAAUUCCCUCCUCAAGGCAGCCCCGCAUACAAGGCCAGCCACGGGGAUGCGGCUGUGGGGACUCGGGCUCACGUCAGAGCCUCGGGACCCCCAGGAGGCCAGGAGCCUGUCCUCUCAGCUCCCACCUCCAGGCCCCGCGAGGGGUGCCCGGGGUCUGGAGCCCGGAGGGGGCGCCAGGGAGUCCGCACGGAGCCUGCAGCCCCUCACAGGCCAGACGCGGGAGGCCCCGGCCCCGGGGCGACGGGGGCCACAGGUGGGAGCGGGGCCAGCAGCUCCUCCCGAGAGACGCCGCGGUCGGGGGUCUCAGCCAAGGUGGGCUACAGGGGCUUGGCUGUGCUCCACUCCUGUGGCUGCUUGUAACACAGGACGACAGACCCUGGAAAUUUAUUGUCUCGGUUCUGGGGAGCUUAAGUCGAAAUCAAGGUGUGGGCCGGCUGUCCCCCUCCGGGGGCCCCUCCCCUGCUCCUGGCUCCCUGUGGAUGCGCUCCCGUGAUUUCUGUCUCUGUUACUACAGUGCCCUCUCCCUGCAAGUCUCUGCCCGGGGCAUCCUCUUCCCACAAGAGCAUCAGUCCCUGGGCCAGGGCCCUGAUCCAAGGAGACCCACUUACCUGAUAGCACCUGCAAAGGCCUUGCAUGCCCUCCAGCUCAAGGGAGGGGACCACACGCAUCUUUUAGGGCACACACUUCAACCCCCUACCAGCUUCUGAGCACCUGAGCCUCCGGCUGCAGUGACUGCCCGGCUGCUCAUUGGCAGGCUCCUCCCUGGGGCUCAGGGCUGCUCCCGCCGCCCCCCUCUGUUAAGGGAUUGCCUGGAACCCCGGGGUCAGGUGGGGGGCCAUCCAUCCCCCAUUGGGCACAAGGCUCCAGGGGAGGGGCUGCGCCCAUCCACCCCCACCUGCCAGGCUGCUGGGCUCCCCAGGGAACUGCUUGAGGGUGUCCCCAAGAGCAGGGGGCACCCCUGAGAUGUCCCCUCUCCAAGUGCCAAGCCAGCAUUGUUACCCACUCUGCAAGAGCCAAGCACCGGGCUGGCAGCCGAGAGUGACCGGGUACGGCUCCAGGCCUCGGCGGGGCACUGGGAAGGCUCCUCGGGGAGGCCAGGUGGCGUCCCCAGAGGCUGAUGGACAGUGUGUUUGCACAUUAGCUCCGUGGGCCUCCCAGUGGCUUCCUGCAGGCACAUAGGGACGCAGUCUCUAACUUCAUUAGGAACGUAGACCAGAGGUGGCCUGAGCUCUGAGUCUGGCUGCCCGCUGGCCUCCGCGCUGUGCCCACCCCACCGCCACCUGCCCUGGCCUGGGACCUCUCCCAUUUUGGACACUCAGGCUGCAGAGGGGGUCUCGUCCAUUGAGGAGCGGUCACCAGUGUCUGCAGGCAAGGGUCACCCCACAGUGCUGGGCAUGCUUGUCUGAGGCCUGUCUCCCUCAGCUCUGCCCUGGGGUCUCACCUGCAAGGUAUGGGGGCAGGAGAGGCUGCUGGAACCAAUGACCAGCUGCAAGAAGACCCAGGGCGUCCUGGGGUCCGGGGUCCGGAGCUCUGCACCGAACCCUUUAUGUCCAUAUCCUGUUUGUUCCUUUUGCCGCCCAUGACGGAGGGGCCUGGUAUGGCCCUGGGCGGACAGGAGGAGACAGGGGCUUAGAGGUGUGCAGGCACUGCCCACUGGCCCACAGGUAAGGCACAGGGCUGCAGUGCCACUGGGACCCUGGGGUCGCUGCCUUGGGGCACCCCUGCGAGUCAGCACGGUGGGGGGGACAGGGCACAUAGGGUCUGUUCCAGGACAUGGAGACCACCCAGGUGCCAGCAAAGGCAGAUGUGUCCCCCCUCCCCCCAGAAGAAAUCAUCCCUGGCAAAGGUGGGCUCACACCUGGGGGCACCUCAAGAGCCAAAAAUAAUAACAGCAGAACAAUCAGAAGAGAUGGUAGAAGCAGCAUCAUAAGAUGAUUGAUGAGGUCAACACAGAAAUCAAAUCCAAUGUCAUAGCAAGAAAAAAGACCCAGCGGACGCGAGAAACAACUGCUAGGAACCUUCAAGGUGGGAAGGGCGGUCAUGGUUUACAUGGCGGCUUAGAUGUGGGAGUAAGGGGAUCCCUGGGUGGCUCAGCGGCUUGGCACCUGCCUUCGGCCCAGGGCGUGAUCCUGGAGUCCCGGGAUCGAGUCCCAUGUCGGGCUCCCUUCAUGGAGCCUGCUUCUCCUUCUCCCUCUGCCUGUGUCCCUGCCUCUCUCUCUCUCUCUCUGUCUCUGUGUCUCUCAUGAAUAAAUGAAUAAACUCUUAAAAAAUAUAUAUAUGUGGGAGUAAACUGAGGAAGGCGGCUGGGAGACAGGCCCAAGGAAGUCACCCAGACAACACCUACCCCCACCCCACUCCCCAAAAAGCGGGUGAGAGGCAGAGGAUG
rnacentral:lncRNA from 1 species